UACGGGGGGGGCUAGCGUUGUUCGGAAUUACUGGGCGUAAAGGGCGCGUAGGCGGACAGUUAAGUCAGAGGUGAAAGCCCAGGGCUCAACCCUGGAAUUGCCUUUGAUACUGGCUGUCUUGAGUGCGGGAGAGGUGUGUGGAACUCCGAGUGUAGAGGUGAAAUUCGUUGAUAUUCGGAAGAACACCAGUGGCGAAGGCGGCUCACUGGACUGGUAUUGACGCUGAGGUGCGAAAGCGUGGGGAGCAAACAGG
rnacentral:rRNA from 1 species